GACAGCCUGUUCCAAGAGAUAAGAAAACAGCCUUGAGAUUGUUUAUGUAAGCCCCCAACCUUAAAGCCAUAAAAAAGUCCCUUGCUGUUUUGACCGCUACUUGAACUCUUUACUCUGUAAAAGGUAUAUAAAGGAGAAAUUAUCUCAACUCAGGGUCAGUCUAUAAGGACUCAUUUCCUGGGACUGGCCAUUGCCUGGCAAUAAACUUCUUUCUUAUUUUACCCAACUCUCCUGGUCUCUGUAAGAUCGUUUUGACUCCCAGAUUUGCCACAACAUUUGGUGCCAAGAAUUGAGAUCAUCUUCUGGCCAUUUGGCCAACAGCCUGAACACUGUCGGAGUGAGUCUGGCCUUCCGACUCCUCUGAGGGGAAGGGCACCCCCUGGGAGAAUUUUCUCAGUCCCCUUUGAGGACUCACUCUGCCAACCUUGCCGACAGCAGCUUGACGGGACCCAGAACAAGAGACAAGGAGACAUGGGACCGAGUGACUGUGGAAAUUAUGCUGAUGGAAUCAUUUGAUGUUGAGUUAAACACACUGGAGUCUUUUGAGGACACAGCUUGGAUACAGGAUUCCUGAGACUGAACACUCAUGUCUGUGCCACUGUGGUACAGGCAUAAAACUGAAAAUAUCUUUCCCACUAUUCUUGUAACUUUAAGUAAAUACACAAUUAUUUCAAGUUGUAAUUAUAACUACUCAUUUUAAACAAAAAUGCAAAAAGUAGGAACAGAAUUUUAAAAUUGUACUGUUAACGUUUGUAUUCUUUGUAUAGCCUAGAUUUUAUAUUAUGACUUUUUUAGUAGAAGCAGUGAUUAACCCAAGAAGUCCAUAUUACUUGUACUACUCUCCAACAGUUUUCCCCACCCUUCUCUUCUGAACUCUCUUGCCCCUUGAGAGUCAUUGUGAAAGAGGUCAUCCUGUGAGAAGAUGGUUGGAAACCUGGGGCUGGCUCAAAUCCCAGCCUAGCGGUAGGAAUACAAGUCUGCAUCUAGUCCCUGCUGGGAUGAGUAAUGAGGAAUGAAGUCUGCUCUAUGGAUGGUAACUAAAAUUCCUGAGGGAAGUAUACAAGUUUC
rnacentral:lncRNA from 1 species